rfam:Myotis davidii contig61458, whole genome shotgun sequence.
CGGGAGGGGGGGGUGUCCCUCAGCCUGGAUUGCAAGAGGGCGCAGGCCAGGCCGAGGGGCCCCACCAGUGCACA